GGAUUAGAUACCCUGGUAGUCCUAGCCCUAAACGAUGAGCACUAAAUAGGGGAGGUUCCGAUGCCGUCCCUGUUGUAGCUAAUGUAUUAAGUGCUCCGCCUGGGGAGUACGGUCGCAAGGCUAAAACUCAAAGGAAUUGACGGGGGCUCACACAAGCGGUGGAGCAUGUGGUUUAAUUCGAAACAACGCGAAGAACCUUACCCGGGUUUGACAUGCACGGAUUAGCUCCCUGAAAGGGGAGUGACGGGGUAAAACUUGGAACGUGCACAGGUGUUGCAUGGCUGUCGUCAGCUCGUGCUG
rnacentral:rRNA from 1 species